rnacentral:rRNA from 1 species
UGGCGGACGGGUGAGUAAUGUCUGGGAAACUGCCCGAUGGAGGGGGAUAACUAUGGAAACGGUAGCUAAUACCGCAUAACGUCGCAAGACCAAAGAGGGGGACCUUAGGGCCUCUUGCCAUCGGAUGUGCCCAGAUGGGAUUAGCUAGUAGGUGGGGUAAUGGCUCACCUAGGCGACGAUCCCUAGCUGGUCUGAGAGGAUGACCAGCCACACUGGAACUGAGACACGGUCCAG